rnacentral:rRNA from 1 species
AUACACGCUGGCGGCGUGCAUGAGACAUGCAAGUCGAACGAAGGAUCGGGCUUGCUCGAUCCUUAGUGGCGGACGGCUGAGUAACGCGUAGGUGACCUACCCCGAAGUGGGGAAUAACUGCCCGAAAGGGUGGCUAAUACCGCAUGUGGUCGCACGUUCAUUCGUGCGAGUAAAGCCGCAAGGCGCUUCGGGAGGGGCCUGCGUCCGAUUAGCUCGUUGGUGGGGUAAUGGCUUACCAAGGCGACGAUCGGUAGGUGGUCUGAGAGGACGAUCACCCAGACUGGGACUGAGACACGGCCCAGACUCCUACGGGAGGCAGCAGUCGGGAAUUUUGCUCAAUGGGGGAAACCCUGAAGCAGCAACGCCGCGUGAGGGAUGAAGGCCUUCGGGUUGUAAACCUCUUUUGUCAGGGACGAUGAUGACGGUACCUGGCGAAUAAGCCACGGCUAACUACGUG